GAUGAAGAACGUAGCGAAAUGCGAUAAGUAAUGUGAAUUGCAGAAUUCAGUGAAUCAUCGAAUCUUUGAACGCACAUUGCGCCCGCCAGUAUUCUGGCGGGCAUGCCUGUUCGAGCGUCAUUACAACCCUCAGGCCCCCGGGCCUGGCGUUGGGGAUCGGCGAGGCGCCCCCCGCGGGCACGCGCCGUCCCCCAAAUACAGUGGCGGUCCCGCCGCAGCUUCCAUUGCGUAGUAGCUAACACCUCGCAACUGGAGAGCGGCGCGGCCAUGCCGUAAAACACCCAACUUCUGAAUGUUGACCUCGAAUCAGGUAGGAAUACCCGCUGAACUUAAGCAUAUCAAUAAGGGAGGA
rnacentral:misc_RNA from 1 species